rnacentral:lncRNA from 1 species
ACAUACCACAUUUACAGUUUCUCAUUUUUCCUUUUCUUUCUCUCUCUUCUCUUUGAUUCUCUCAACUCUCUCUCCCUCCGGCCACCCCUGUUCUUCAUCUUCACUGUCCCAACCACCAUAUUCCCGAGUUUUCCGGUUGAACUUCAACCGGAAAAUUCAAACAUUUAACUGUUUUAUCCCUAGAACCCUUAAACCAAACCCAGAAUCCUUCACAACCCCAUGAACCCUAGAUGGGUUUCAAUGAACCCUAACAUUUCCUUGAUGAAUCAUAGGGUUCAUCACGUGAACCCUAACCUUAACCUAACCCUAAAAAUUACCUAGAAACCCCCAAACCCUUAUCAGAACCUGGAUUGAACAUUAAACCCAAAUAAAUCCACACACGCAUCAUGAAAAUGAACAGUCAACAGGGCAAACACGUCUAACAACAUAAAUAUCAAAGCGACGUUUAAAGGGAGCAAGAACCAACCUUCGGCGACGUGGAUUCCUCCGGUAAGGUACUUUUAUUCACCCUUCUCUUCUUUUAUUUUUGUUGAUCUUAUUCCCUCCUUCUCUAAUUCUUCCUUCUUUGCUUGUUGCGAGGUCUUACCGGCAAAAAGCUCAAGCUUGGAUACGAUUAGGGUUUGAUGACAACCCUAAUCCACCGGAUUUCAAAGCUCUUGUGAGGAUUAGGGAUUUUUGCUGUUAUCGAUUUCGGGUCCCGUCCUCUUAUUUUAGAUUCCAUUUUUUAUAGAAUUAGGAUUUAGGUUUUAAUUUUAAUAUUGAUUUGUAACUUUAGGAAGUUUUCAAUUGAUUGGUUGUGAUUCUGAUUUUAGUUUUAUUUAAGUUUGAUUUAGUUUAUGAAUUACAUUAUAUUGAUUUUGGAAACCUUAGAUUGAAAUGGAAACUAUCAUUUUUUUUAUUCAUUUGGAUUUUGAAUUUGGCGCAA